rnacentral:lncRNA from 1 species
GACCGGUAAUGGUUGCGUUACUAGUCCACAAUUUCCCCUCCUCCCCCAUGACCCCGUCGCUCAGCAUCGCCGCCUCCUGAUCCCGAGGCAAGCAUCGCUGCCUCCCUAUUCCAGUCCGGCACUGCCGCCUCCACGAUCCCCUUCGAUCCCCCCUCCACCUCCCCUCGAUCCUCUCCUCGUGCAGCACCACCACAUCCAUGGCAUGCCAGCCGCUGGACACAACCUGCAUCUCAGCAAGGGCCAUCUCCGGAUUUCCAAUCGAUCUCUUACUCCUACAUUAACAUCCUCCUGCAGAUCUUGAGGUUAGGGUUACUACUCUUUGUCCUUUGAUCUUUUAUUGCUCUGGUAGGUAACUAAUAAAAAAAUUAUCUUGAUUUUUUUCUUGAUCUAUUCAUGAUUUGUUAUAGGUUGUUACAAAUAGAUGAGUGAUAGUAUAAUUUUUGUUCUGUCCUUUUUGUAUUUUUGUUGAUGUGUUCUUGAUCAAUCUAAUUAGGUAACUAGGCAAAUUCAAUUUAUAUUAUAAUAAUGCAUUCUUGAUCUGUAGUUUAAUAAUUAGGUAGUUAGGUAGCAGACACUGUCUGUAUAUUAGCAUACCAAGUCAAACCAAAGAUGACAAUGUGGACAUGAUUUGUAUAAUUAGCGACUUACUUCCCUGGGGUUGUUGGCCUAAUCAUGGGUGUUGGAGAAGUUGUGAAUUAGGCUGGCUUGUCAGGGAUUUACUUACUUGAAUACAUUAUGCUUUGUAUUGUUGAAGAGCAAUGUAUGUGAUGCAUCGCACAUUAUUUGCAUUAUAUUUAGAAUGCCAUAUAUUAAAUGAACUAGCACUUGUAUCUUAAUAAAACAAAUUGUGUUACUUGGACAUCUUGUUAUCCAUGAAGUGCGGGCAUGUUAGAUGUUCUGUUUAUUGACAAAAAUUCUUAUCCAAGAAGCUUGGGUAUGUAUUUUCUCUCUUGUUGUAUAGUGGUUUUGCCUCUUUGAUAUGUUUUUAUUUAUGAUGGUAUCGAGCUUGCCUAUUAUGUUUGUACUCUUAUAGUAUCAAUGUCAUAUGAAAGAUCUAAAGUGUUGUUGUUGGCUUUUCUUGUAGGAGAACUAGUAUUUUGUUUCUAUACAAUGUCGUUGGCUUAUAAAUGAUAGCAAUUUCUAUUUUUUGUGUUGCUUUCUUGUGCAGGAUCUGAAGUAUCAACCUCUUCAAUAUUCCUUCUCCCAGCAGCGGCGCACUUCGUUGGUUGUGUCCCGCUCGGCACUAUCCUCCCACCCAGUGUUCAGCUCUUCCUGAACGUUGUUGGCCAUGCUUUUGCUAUUACUUAUUUUAUUUUACUUAGCUUAUAGUGAAUUUCCUCUCUAAUGAAAGAUCUAUUUGCUAUUUUGUUUGAUAUAACAUUUGUGUCUUGCGAGUACGAUAAUAAUCAAUAAAGAGUAAAAAAAUGCUACUCGUA